GAGAGCAAGGGAGAGCAUACAGAGGAGGAAAGAGAGGGGGAUGAUGGGUACUGAUGAAAGAGGGCAGAAGGGCUGAAAGACGCCCUGCUGGGCUCACUGGUGAGGGGAGACGGUUCCUGCCUCAGCAGGAGGUUCAGACCCUUCCAGGAACCCUCCAGGAGUCCUGGAGCGCUAGAGGCAACAAGAUAUGGGCAUCUGGAGUUCAGCCAGAUGUGAAGAGCACACAGAGACCCAACAGCUGACCAGGACAAAUCAGCAAGUCCACACCAAGGCUGUCAAUCACUCCCCAACAAGCGUGACCUUUCUGACAAGGCUCGGGAUAAUGAGAAAGCACGGCUCCAGGAAACUGUCCAGGCUGCCACUCAACUGAUUUUACACCUUGGCCUCGCUGCCUCGCUGCCUCGCCGCCUCGUUGCUCGCCACUUCCGACUCCAGCCGUCCUCCAAAUCUCCAGUAUUUGUCCUUCACGCCGGAUGCCAACGCUUCAAGCACAACGUCUACAAUUAAAGCCCCGACUGCAUAUGACCACUUGGGUUUCUCUUAUUCCAUGACACAGAAUUUCUCUUUCAGCAAGCAUCCGAAUGACACCACAACUCCGACGUCAAAUCGUCCAUGGACAUCCACAUUGGGCCAGUCGUGAAC